CUCAAACCCCCCACGACAGCCCUCCGUCCGGCCUACUGCCAAACUAACCAAGUGAUUAGUCACAUCUCCGCGUGCCGCAAAACAAACAAGCCUUUUAGGAGUAAAUGUGAGAGUAAAGGAGCCACGGCGAGUAUUCGCACAUCAUCGCAAGACGUGAGAGACGCGAUUUAGCGGGGAGCGCUAUCUCACAAAGGCCACAGAGGGCGGCGGUGUGAUGCUUGAUCCCAGCCAUCAAAGGUAGGAAGUCAAACAGAAUAUAUGAUUCUCAUAUGGCGACAUUUGAAAAAAAACAAAACAGGCGGGCUAAAAUGCUCAUAUUAGUGGCUUUGAUAGGUCAUUUUAUAACCAGUGGUCAAAGUCACUCGCCCUUUCACCUUGUACGCCAUUUAAUCCGUCGCUAAUCUAAAGAUAUUGAUAAGGGCAGUUUUAAAUGGAGGGUCUGAAUAUUUCUUCCACCACUUAUAAUGAACUGAUUAUGCGUCUUAAUGAUUUUCCAACAAAAUCCUCUUCUUACACUGAAUUGCUUUUUUAUUAGGAUCAUACUGUACAUGCUCAGGGUUUUCUGUGGAGGAUUAGAGGGAACUUCAUGGUUCCACAGAUCUCCCUUCUGGAAAUACGCCUCGUAUUCAUUGCACUUGUGUGUGAGGGACGGUGUAUUAUAGUGCACACAUAAAGAAUGAACUGUUGUCCUACGAUGAUGUUUGCCCGGUGCACAACAUAUAUUAGGGAAUGUUUGUCAUGUUGUCAGACCCUGGCUGGAUGAAAUACAACUUUUAAUUCAUAAAAGCUUUUUGGUCAUUUUUUCGCAUUACAACAAAGUGCACAGUGGAGAAUUAUAAAGCAUGGAUGGUCGUAAAUGUGGAACAUGCACCGCGAUCUGCUGAGGUACUUGGGUAUUGCCGGAAGGGCAGUUAUUAUGAAUCUUUAUUAAAAAAUGAUUACCACAGGGAUGGAUUUAAAAUAAAUCGCAGAUGAAUUCAUUUCAGUGGCGCUGCAGACAGGAAACAGAGAAGUUGGAUUCUAAUAAGUGCUUAGAUAAGCAUAUGAGGCCACCGUAGCCACGCAUGAGCUACGCAGCAUGUGCGCCUCGCUCAUCUGCCUCGGACACACCGAACGCUGUUGUGCUUGUAGGAAAAACAAACCCAGAAAGCACAACAAAUCCCCUGCUAGUCUGUGUUUCUCUGUUGGCUGACUGGGUCUGUGUGUGUUUCUCUGUGUGUGUCUGUGUGUGGUGUGUGCGUUUGCACUCGGCGCCAGUCACGCUGUCCCCAGUAACCUCCCUCUAACUCUCGGGACAGGAAGAAACAUGUUCUCCCGACCCCUCGGGGAGUCGCUGAGGAGUGGGUGGCUGGGGUGGAGGCCCACAUUCAUCAAGCCGUUGAUUGCUGCUAGUCCCGUAGUCCCUCUGUAACCCUGCAUCCUCGCCCACUUAUCUGUUCCCAAACACUAAACAAACUACAUGAGAACAGAAAAAAAAACACACUUUGUCUUUAUCGUGGGGGUAAAAGGAGGAAGGGAGUGGAGGUGGGAGGGGCUUUGAGGAAAUAAUUACUGCUCCAUCAAACAGGGAGGAAGUCAUUUGGCCGGUCAGGCUGCCCCAGUGGAUAUUAGCUCCGCGAUGAAACAACAACAUGCCCACAUCCGCCUCUCAGCAGAGGGUGUAGUGAAGCUACAACAUCCAGGCAGAAUGUUGUGAUAAUCACAGGCCACCGCAGCAGGUGUACACAUAAGCAACACACUCAAAUUGCGUGGUGUGCAUGCGUACAUGCCCGGGCAAAUAUACGCAAGAACACGCGCACAAUCAAAAGGGUUUCGGUCGUACAAAAUAAAUCCCAGAGACCGACCUGAGUUCAUCCAUAACUACACAGGAACAAGUGAUGAGGUAUCACUAUAGGUAAGUAAGAAAAUAUGGAUCUAAUCAUGGCAGAAUCACACCGUGGCAUUAUAUAAAAGUAAAUAAUAUAUAUAUAUAUAUAUAUAUCAGUAUGGGAACCAUAAUACAGGAAGAAGGAAGGUCAACUGUCAGUGUUGAGUUGGCCCCGCUGCUCUGUCCGUCCCUGAUAUUUUGCAGCUCUGCAAACAAACAGCUUGUGUUUUUCUUGGCCCCUUCUGCUCUGCACAACGGCCACAGUCGAGUUAGAAACACAGUUACUCGAUGUGUCGAUGUGGGAUAGGGUUACGUAUUCGCGCGCUGCGAUCGGCCCGAGAAUUUUAGCUUCUUGUUGUUUCCUGCAACACAACAAGAAUGCACCUGUACAAUCCGUCCGCCGUGACUCGGCCAUGUGCCUUAGAAGAGAGCCGGCGCCUGUGAACUGUUGCUCACGCUGAUGAGCGCGUCGGUGGGCAUUCGCAAUGUGGUCGCUCGGUGGUUGUCUCGGCAUUCGAAGGACGUGUGUCAGAGAACGCCGCGCGCCUUCGGAAGUCUAACCGUGGCAGACAUGAAUGCAUGCGCGCGUGUGUGUGUGUGUGUGAGCAGCUGAAAGUGAGGAAGUGUCCGGGGGUCUUUCUAGUCGUCGCGGGUGACGAGUUGUCCUAAUCACCUGGCAUCCCUGCUGUCAAAGGAUGUCAAAGUUUAUGUUCAGCUCUUGAUCAUUCAAUCGGGAGCUGGUAUCUAAACUGUGAUGACUCAGUGAUUUCCAUUGCGGGUUUCUCUGUUGCUGUGCGACCCCGGGAGGCCUCGGCCGGUCGUUCGUCUGACUACUUGUGAAGCGGAAUUCUAUUUGACGUUCAUGCUCCGGCACAGAGCUGGAUCCAAAGACAACCCUAAUAGUGGACAUUAAUGCCUAGUGAACUGCAGGCAAAGGUAAUCCGGAUUUUCCAUCUGAUGUGACAUGCUGGGGGAGUGCGGUGAGUAUCAUGCAUGCUUGUGUGUUAGCCCGAGAGAGACAUGUGUGUGUGUGUGUGUGUGUGUGUGUGUGUCCGGCUGCCUGCCCUCAGGAGAUUUUUGGCCAAUAGCCCGACAAAACCAAUGGUUCCUGUACAAAGUUGGACUAACUCCCACUGGAGAGCUGAGGACCAGCUGGGGCCCCUUCUAAUAAGGAAGUGGUACUUUAUUCCUUCACCCCCUACUGACGCACACACACACAUACGUAAUAGCAACAGCGUGGCCUUGUCCCUGCACCGGGUCUCAGACCUAGAUACAUGUCAGCAGCUGCAUUCAUCACCGCCCAGCUCCAGCAGCGAUUGCUGGUAUGUGAGAAACACAGCCGGGGCCUAAAGGCUUUUCUCCGGAUUAAAGGGGCUUCAGACGCGCCUCUUCUUCGUGGGCCGCACUGCGCAGGUAGAGAUCUUAAAGGGCCAUACGGGUGUUAGUGAAAAGUUUUAGGCUAAUGAGUUAGAAAUUGAGAGCACUUUACAUUUUCACACAGCGUUCUCGAACAUGGGCUCCCGGUAAUGAAGAUGAGAGAUUAAAACACAUCUGUGGCAGGAUUAGAUAGAAAAGACAAAUACCAUCCAGAGUGGUUUUCACAACUUGGAAACUGUUUUUUUUUUCCUCAUUGAUUGCAGACUACAGACAACCAGAGUCGGUGUUGGUUCUAUAUUCUCGCUCUUCCUUCGCAGCACCAGAUCAAUGAGCACCGAUAACAGACACAGGAACACUUGCCACCUGAAGCCUGGCUGGAAAAAAAGAGGAAACAAAGGACACAUUUACUGCAAACCCAGUCCCUUCCCACAUUGUCAAACACUACGUGUUUACCUAUCUCACAUUAUGCGCCCGGGCCUGACUUAUUGAAUGUAACAUAUUAAGCUCGCGAAUCACUAAACCGUUCCCUAAUCCGCCCAGACAUGUUCAAUGAUCAACCCAAUCUUUAACCUUGGUGUCUCAGCCAGAACAAAUAGG
ensembl:lncRNA